GUAGGCUGCAACUCGCCUACAUGAAGUCGGAAUUGCUAGUAAUCGCGGAUCAGCAUGCCGCGGUGAAUACGUUCCCGGGCCUUGUACACACCGCCCGUCACACCAUGGGAGUUGGAAAUACCCGAAGCCUGUGAGCUAACAGUAAUGAGGCAGCAGUCGAAGGUAGAGCCAAUGAUUGGGGUGAAGUCGUAACAAGGUACC
rnacentral:rRNA from 1 species